ensembl:lncRNA
UGUUGAUCUAGUUAAUAAAACUACAGUAGCUUGAAUGAAGAUUGGAUUAUCAGUGAAAAUGACAUUUUUUCCCAUUUCUCACAUGAAGUUAUUACAUGGCUUCAGGAGACCUGUAAUAUAACCUGCAAAUCUUAUGGACUACUUUUAAUUAUGGUGCUUCAGUUUUUACAUGUGAGUUUUACAAUUUUUUACAGUGUUCCACAAAAGAACCAAAGUCAUAUGGGUUUGAUGUGAGUAAAUUGUAACAGAAUGAUCGUUUUGUGUUAUGUAAUGGCCUUUAAGAUCUUAAGAAAACUUCUGGUGUGUAGAUACAGAGGCUUCUGUUAGUGCAACUUAUAAAAAACAAUUUAAAAAUGUAAUUUAAAAUGUCACUGCAUGACAUUUCGCAUCAGACCUCAAGGAUCACAUUCAGUUCAUUUCAGUAUACUGUAGUCUAGUUUAAUCUUUAUAGUCGUACAGGGUUGGACAAAAAGCAAAGUUAUUAUGCCCAGAGAGCCCUCCGUACUGACAUCUUCCCCAAUAAUAACACACAAAAGACUUUUACAUUAGAGUGUUUUACAUAAUAACUGUGAAGUACUGAUGCACCUGUAACUGUCGCAAUAUUGUUUUAUCUAUCUAAAGUGACCGACUGUGUUCCAAACUAAUUUUCCUCUUUGAACCCUGGGGUAAACUUUACUGUGACUGUUAUGAAUGUCUCCAUGAGUGUUGUGCCUGUAUUGUGUGAGGGGCAACAAAAACUCCAAAACCUGAGCUGCCCACCCGAGUAACAUUUUUAGGCAUCCCGGGCACACUCCUGACACAAAAGGCUGUUCAAAACUGUUGGCAUCACAACCAUCACAACCCAGAAACCAUUGCGACAAGCAGUCGGAAUCAAGUGUCAUCUUUAAUCCUCUCAGCAGAGGCCUUCUGAUGAUAAGGCUAGUAUAUGGAAAUGAGGAGGGUCGGCGGCAGGCUGGUAACCGGACCCCCCUGUAAUAAGGAUGAAGAAUGA